UACGGGAGGCAGCAGUGGGGAAUAUUGCACAAUGGGCGCAAGCCUGAUGCAGCCAUGCCGCGUGUAUGAAGAAGGGCCUUCGGGUUGUAAAGUACUUUCAGUCGUGAGGAAGGUGUUAAGGUUAAUAACCUUAGCAAUUGACGUUAGCGACAGAAGAAGCACCGGCUAACUCCGUGCCAGCAGCCGCGGUAAUACGGAGGGUGCGAGCGUUAAUCGGAAUUACUGGGCGUAAAGGGCACGCAGGCGGUUAAUUAAGUUGGAUGUGAAUCCCCGGGCUUAACCUGGGAAUGGCAUUCAAGACUGGUUAGCUAGAGUCUUGUAGAGGGGGUAGAAUUCCAUGUGUAGCGGUGAAAUGCGUAGAGAUGUGGAGGAAUACCGGGUGGCGAAGGCGGCCCCUGGGACAAAGGACUGACGCUCAUGUGCGAAAGCGUGGGGAGCAAACGAGGAUUAGAUACC
rnacentral:rRNA from 1 species